rnacentral:rRNA from 1 species
UACGUAGGAGACGAGCGUUGUCCGGAAUUACUGGGCGUAAAGCGCGUGUAGGCGGAUGGGCAAGUCUGCUGUGAAAGCUCCUGGCUUAACCGGGAGUGGUCGGUGGAAACUGCCAAUCUGGAGGACGGUAGAGGUAGGUAGAAUUCCCGGUGUAGUGGUGAAAUGCGUAGUGAUCGGGAGGAAUACCUGUGGCGAAGGCGGCCUACUGGGCCGGACCUGACGCUGAGACGCGAAGGCGUGGGGAGCGAACGGG